AUUGAACGCUGGCGGCAGGCUUAACACAUGCAAGUCGAGCGGAGAGAGGUAGCUUGCUACUGAUCUUAGCGGCGGACGGGUGAGUAAUGCUUAGGAAUCUGCCUAUUAGUGGGGGACAACAUUUCGAAAGGAAUGCUGAUACCGCAUACGUCCUACGGGAGAAAGCAGGGGAUCUUCGGACCUUGCGCUAAUAGAUGAGCCUAAGUCGGAUUAGCUAGUUGGUGGGGUAAAGGCCUACCAAGGCGACGAUCUGUAGCGGGUCUGAGAGGAUGAUCCGCCACACUGGGACUGAGACACGGCCCAGACUCCUACGGGAGGCAGCAGUGGGGAAUAUUGGGCAAUGGGCGGAAGCCUGAUCCAGCCAUGCCGCGUGUGUGAAGAAGGCCUUAUGGUUGUAAAGCACUUUAAGCGAGGAGGAGGCUACUUUAGUUAAUACCUAGAGAUAGUGGACGUUACUCGCAGAAUAAGCACCGGCUAACUCUGUGCCAGCCGCCGCCGUAAGAC
rnacentral:rRNA from 1 species